AUUGAACGCUGGCGGCAUGCUUUACACAUGCAAGUCGAACGGUAACAGGCCGCAAGGUGCUGACGAGUGGCGAACGGGUGCGUAAUGCAUCGGAACGUGCCCAGUCGUGGGGGAUAACUACUCGAAAGAGUAGCUAAUACCGCAUACGAUCUAUGGAUGAAAGCGGGGGACCGUAAGGCCUCGCGCGAUUGGAGCGGCCGAUGUCCGAUUAGGUUGUUGGUGGGGUAAAGGCUCACCACGCCAACGAUCGGUAGCGGGUCUGAGAGGACGACCGGCCACACUGGGACGGAGACACGGCCCAGACUCCUACGGGAGGCAGCAGUGGGGAAUUUUGGACAAUGGGCGCAAGCCUGAUCCAGCAAUGCCGCGUGCAGGAAGAAGGCCUUCGGGUUGUAAACUGCUUUUGUACGGAACGAAACGGCUCUGGUUAAUACCCGGGGCUAAUGACGGUACCGGAAGAAUAAGCACCGGCUAACUACGUG
rnacentral:rRNA from 1 species